GGGCGAGUGGCGGAAUUGGCAGACGCGCAUGGUUCAGGGCCAUGUGGUAGCAAUACCGUGGAGGUUCAAAUCCUCUCUCGCCCA
rnacentral:tRNA from 1 species